UAUAGAAGGUUAAUUAAAUAAUUUUUAUCAAUAUAAGUUAAGCUUUGUUAUAAACUUUAACUGUUGUUUUGAUAUUGCUGGGUGAAAUAUGAAAAUUGUGGUGGUUGCAUUGAAAAUUAUGACACUGAAUUGUUUGCGUUGGAGAUAUCUUAUUACAACUCUUCAUAAACUCUUCUCCUUCAAUCGUCUUUUUCCAUUUUGUAUAAUUUGUUUAAUUUUUCAUAAUGAUAAUAUCACAAGCAGAAGGUAACUAAAUUGUGUGUAUCAAUGGAAGAAAAUGGUUUAGAAUCCAUUGG
rnacentral:misc_RNA from 1 species